AUUCCCUGCUUAUAUGGCUUAUAUGAUUUGCCAGUUUUUCCACAUGGAUUUUUGGCUUCUUAUCAUUAUUUCCAGCAGCAUUCUUACCUCUCUUCAGGUUCUGGGAACACUUUUUAUUUAUGUCUUAUUUAUGGUUGAGGAAUUCAGAAAAGAGCCAGUGGAAAACAUGGAUGAUGUCAUCUACUAUGUGAAUGGCACUUACCGCCUGCUGGAGUUUCUUGUGGCCCUCUGUGUGGUGGCCUAUGGCGUCUCAGAGACCAUCUUUGGAGAAUGGACAGUGAUGGGCUCAAUGAUCAUCUUCAUUCAUUCCUACUAUAACGUGUGGCUUCGGGCCCAGCUGGGGUGGAAGAGCUUUCUUCUCCGCAGGGAUGCUGUGAAUAAGAUUAAAUCGUUACCCAUUGCUACGAAAGAGCAGCUUGAGAAACACAAUGAUAUUUGUGCCAUCUGUUAUCAGGUAACUCCUUCAAUAAGAAUGUGUUUGGGUAAGUCAUACAGUGUAUCCCUUGGGACUGUAACCAUAUUAACCAAAUUCAACUUAAAUUUCUAGGCAAAAUUAUCUUCUGGAUUAAAAAAAAUGGA
rnacentral:sRNA from 1 species